CAGUGGGACAGGAAGUGAUAGGCACGUGACAGGAAGACAUUUUUUUUCUCGCUGUUAGGGGGGUGCUGACAGGAGAGUUUGCAGCCCUUGGGGAAUCAGCUGUCGUUCCCCAACAUUCCCCCACCUGGAGCUGGAGAGAAGAGGGAUCAGAUGGGAGGGUGGCCACUCCCCACCACUGUGUGCACGAACUCCCCAGCAGACCCUUCCGAGGGCUCAGCUCACCGUGGCCCCUACAAUUGAGAAAGGAUCCUUCCCUGCUCAAGCAUCCCAGGGGUCAGGGAUCACGCCCUGCCUGCAUUAUCACCCAACUCUGAAGACCAUUCAUCUAAAAACCUCAGAGCUUUUGAACAGAGUCACCUGCACAUCAGAGUCCUUACUGGAUAAUUCCCACCGACCCAGGCUCAAGUUCUGCCCUGUGAAGCAGGAGAAAAAGGGUGACAAGCCUCAGCCCUGCCUGUGCCCAGGGUGGUGAGGUGAUCAGGAACAGAACUAAGAGUUGGGUAAAGAGCAACGGGAAACGAUUCUGUUGGAGAACACGCACACAUACAUGUGCACACGGUCCAAGGCAGAAGGUAGCAGUCUGGCUGCAGACUCAGAAGCUGGCACCAGAGAAAAGAGUUCCCAGCAGUGGAUCUGCCACGGCUGGAGCGCCGGG
ensembl:lncRNA